AAGCAAACACCACAUCCACCUCACUCAGCUCAACUCACCUCAUUUCGAAAAAGAAAAAAGAAGAUCUGAAUCACGUCAUGUUGCCAGGAAGGUUUCUUGGUCAGAAGAAGGCCAGGUCACCGGCGGGUCCGCCCACAAUCCCAAGAACACCAACGCCGGCGGCUACCUCAAGACCGUCAACAACAGUCCCUCCGAUGGUUGCAACAACAACAGUCCGGCGCUCCCUAUAUUUUUUUUUCAUUUUUGGUUUUUAUUUUUCCUUUUCUAUUUUCUGUUUGUCUUUUAUUCAAUGUUAAAAUAAUUCGAGAUUACAACAAGUUCUUAAAUUUGGAAAAAAAUCUGAUUAAAAAAAUUCGUUAUUUAAAGAAGAAUGAACACUUUUUAUUUGUAGUGAACAUUUUUUAUUUGCUGAAAAACUUUUUUUGAGCAUUUUAUAAUAAUGAUUACAAUUUUUUUCGUAUUUGAUGAACGAAUUUUGAAUUCAAAGAAGAAAAUUUGUAUCCAAGACUUUUCUUUUGAAAAAAUGAUGAACAAAUUUGUAAUUCAAAGAACAAAAUUUUAAUUCAAUGCAAACAAAAAGAAAAGAAAAACAAAAAAUAAAAAGUCAAAAAGAUAAACCGGUAGAGAAAACNNNNNNNNNNNNNNNNNNNNNNNNNNNNNNNNNNNNNNNNNNNNNNNNNNNNNNNNNNNNNNNNNNNNNNNNNNNNNNNNNNNNNNNNNNNNNNNNNNNNNNNNNNNNNNNNNNNNNNNNNNNNNNNNNNNNNNNNNNNNNNNNNNNNNNNNNNNNNNNNNNNNNCUACGCGUUGUAUAGGAUCCGCCCCUAUUAGACGCGUUUUCAGUCAAAUAGGCUCGCAACAUGCGCACGGAAUCUAUACCGAUCUCCUGGCCUGUCGCGAGUGAGGUGCCAUUGCUAUUAGGGGAACUGACAUGUGUGAGUGGCUAAUAACCAGCCCAAAACCUUAAGAAGUAGCGGCAGAUCCGAUGUUUUAAACGCAACCCUUUUGCUGAUAAUUGUGAACAAAAUGUUGAAGCGCAACCCUUUUGCUGAUAAUUGCGAACAUUUUUUAAAUGCAUAGCAUCAUUUGAAUUUGUGAAACAAAAUGAAACUAGAACAUUUCUUAAAAAUAUGAAUUCUUAACAAAUUUUUAAAAAGGGAAGAUAUUUUUGAAAUUCCAAUCAAAAUUUUGGAAAAAAGACCCAUUAAAUAACAAUAUAAUACAAAAUAUAUUUUACAUAAAAAUGUAUAAAAUCUUAGUCAUCCAUUUGAAACAUGUUAGUCGUGUAGAAAAAGUAUGUCGCAUUUAAAAAAAGUUUAAGCGUUUUUAAAAAAAAUGUACGUGCCAUGUUAAAACUAUUUUUGCAAUGUACAAAAAACGUCCAUGUAAUUGAAUAAAACGUAUAUACAAUUUAAUUAAAAUGUCAUGAGUUCUAAAAAUAUUUUUCUGGCAUUUUCAAAAAAGUUUUAUCGAACACAUUUUUUUUUUUGCAUAUGCUAAAUACUGUUAGUUACGUAUAAACAAAUGCAUGUGUCAAUUUUAAAGAAACAUUCCGGUAAGUCAAAUAAAUGUUCAUCAGAUUUCAAAAAAUGUAAAAAAAACAUCACUGCAGGUUAAAAAUGUUUAUUUACAUUAAUAUAUAUAUACAGCGUGUAUUUGGAACAAAUGUUAUUGUGUAUUCAGAAAAAGUGCUCAGAAAUGUAAAUAAAAUAUUUACAUCAUGUAUUUCAAAAAUAUCCAAAGUGUAUCAUGAAAAUGUUUGACGUGUUUUCUAAAAACGUACAUUGUGUACUGAGAAAAAAUAAGACAUGUAUGGAAAAAAAGAAAAUAAAGAACCAAAGAAAACAAGGAACAAAUAAAAACAGACAAGGAAACAGAAAAAAAAAGCAAAAAAACGAAGAGAACGUAGGAAAACAAGAAGGAAACAAAAGAAAAGCAAAGUAUAAAUAUGAGAGAAAAAACAAACAAAAAACAAUGAGAAAAGAAAGAAAACCAAUGCAGAAUCAUGGAAAAAAGGAAAACUGAAAAAAGAAAUGAAACCAAAUAAAUAACAAAAGAAAAUGAAAAGGGAAAAAGAAAACAUAGUACGACACCUUGCAACUGGGCUAGUCCACUAGACGUCGCCUGCAGGCGAUUCCUAUUACGAAUCAGUGGGCGUAUAUAGCCCUGGUAGUCGCCGACAGUUUUUCGUCUAGCAGUCUCAAGUUAAAAGCUUAAAAAGGCCCAACACUAAUAGGUGGUCGAUCCAUUACAGAACUUAAUUAGGUCGGAAAGCCAGUUGGAAUAACAUUAUACACAACUCAUCGGGAGCUCCUAUAUUCGGCGCUUCAGGCAUCAGGGAAGCUCCCGGGCGCCCACACGCCGGCGCUGGUGGGCCGGCCCAUGUAAUCGAUCGCAUUUGACAGAAAAACGAAAAAGGAGAAAAAAUUGAAAAAAAAUCACGAAUUCAAAAAAGUUCACAGUUUUUUCUUCAUAAAUUUGAAUAUAAUUUAUUGAAUUUGAAAAAAGUGUAUCAAAUUUGAAAAAGUGCAUCAAAUUUAAAUGUCACUGCCACGUUGGCAUACCAUGGACCGCUCACAGGAAUUGUAUGUAUACCUUUAAGACAAGAAUCAUAUGUACGUGCAAUGCCUGGGACGUGGAGUUUCUGCACCCGAGCUCAUAUGAGCUCGGGUGAACAGUAAAAUCGAAAAAAAUCGAAAAAAAUUCAAAAAAUUCCAAAUUUUUUUGGUAGAAACAUUGACAAAAGUUUUAAGUGCUUGCAAAAAUUCGUCAUGAAAUCACAUUUUUAGAAGGCGUGGCAAAAAAAAAACCAAAAUUGGUACUCUGAAAAUGCUACUUUCAAAAGCAUUUUGGAGGCUGAAUUUGUUUUUUUGCCACGCCUUACAGGAAUGUGAUUUCAUGAUGAAUUUUUGCAAGCACUUGGAACUUUUGUCAAUGUUUCUCUGAGAAUUUUUUUGGAAUUUUUGGAAUUUUUUUUAUUUUUUUCGAUUUUACUGUUCACCAAGCUCAAAUGAGCUCGGCAGCAGAAAGGCACUUUCGCAAUGCCUGCUACUACUCUAGCAAGCUGCUACCUGUAGUAGCUAAUAAUAGUUUUUCCUCUAGUUACAGUAUAAAUACCAAUCAGCAGCUAAAAUGUCCUCUGUAAUCAUUGUAUACAAAAACAUUUAACAUUCUAGUGGAACUUGAGCGAGCCAUAGGCACUCUUGCAAAAAUGCCCCUCUAAAGAUUAAUUAGUUUAUGGCCAGUCCAAGGUAUGCCAACGCAGCAGCCACAUGGACCGUUGUUUCUCACCUAAUCAGUUUUGGACUUAUUUAAUUAAAUAAACGAGUUCAUGGACUGUAUCGUGCACUUUUGGACUUCUUAGCCUAAACUGUGCAAUCAGUUCGAAUUAAUGAACUAAUGACACAUUUCAUUCAAGAGAGUUGAUUAGCAUCCUUAGUGUAGAUUGGAUAAUUUGUGUUCUAGUUAGUUCAGGCGGUUUUUUGCGAGUCUAAGUCAUACUUGACUAGUAUUUUGAGUCAGAAACAUUGGUUCUACAAAAUGAGGAGAGAAAUAAAGAAAUUGAGAGGCAUGAGACCUGUGUUUAGCAGAGCUUUUCGAACAAACAUUUUUAUGUGUGUGUUUUUGGUAUGAUCGAUGCAUGGGUGAGACCAUAACGGGGAGUAACUUAGCCUAGUAAUAUGCAUAUGUUACUAGUCUAUAUUACUACCUCUAUAAUGGAAAGUAAUAUAUAUGUAUUGUCAUAUAACACUUCAUUUAUUAGGUUGUAGACUCAUCUUGCCUUUAUGUGUGAUGUUACUUAUACGUCAGUAACUAGCUAUGUUACAAUAUGACUCUCUUUCUUCAUUAAUUACUUGCCAUAUUUUUGCCUAAAUAUAUGUCAUGCUACUAUCUAUUUUACUCCUACUGUGGGUAGUCUUACUACCAAGCGGGAUUUAAGAUUAAAAUCCGGGCUUGCUAGCUCCGAGGAGGCGAGCAGACACUAGUGUCUCGGGCCAAGCGAUCAUAGUUCGACAGAGCAAUGAGGAGAAGACGGUGAGGACUAUGUCACGAGUGAGGCAAUAGAUGACCACAAUUCAAUGGAGCAAGGAGGAGAUGGCAGAGUUAAUUAGGAGCCAUCGUGAAGUAUGCAUGUGAGUUCUUGUAAUGUGUCGGGAGCUCAGGUGCGUGAGUUUUUCGUGGUAGCUGAAACACAUCGCUGGAGGAAGAAUUGUGGAGGAUAGAGUGGAAAAGAAAAAUAGUGACGCAGAGCCUCUAAGAGCAUCUACGGCGGGACAUGUCAAAUCUGGCCCUUAAAAUGCUGGUCAGUUCACAAAUUGUGUCAUCCACAUCCACGUAUCUCAUAUCUGAUCCUCUAUAUCCAUACCGAACCAUUCAACACUCGUAGAUACAUUAUAGAUUAUGAGUGGACAUAGAAACGGACAUACAAAUACACAAUCCAUUCACCAAAAGAUCACAGCUGGAUCUUCAAAAGAUAGUCAAAGUUCACAUAAUGCACAUAAUACGACGAACAAGUUGAAACUACAUCUAAAACUUGAAAUUAAAGUGGAGAAGACCAAUCUUCACCACUUCCUCGCCGGCCCUUUCCCUUUCUGGUCGACGGCGCUGCUGUUGGCGUUGGCGACUGGUGGAGGAUCGUCCGAGUCGUCGGACGAGGCAUCAUGGUCAUCGACGUCGAAGGAUUCAAAGCCGGAGAGGACAAUCAGCCCUUUGAGCCGUCGGAUGGCCCUGUCCUGCUACCGCUUGAGCUUCGCCAACCGAGCCGCCUCUACCAUUGCCUCCGCCGCCUUGAGCUCCGAUUCCUCACUGGCAAGCCGGAGCGCCUUGGCGUUCUUCCAACCACCGCCAAGCUUCUGUUUCCGCGGUCAUACGUGACCGGCGUAGAGCCAAGCGAGGAGCCGCUCGUCCUCGUCGGACUCCGUCGACGACCCGCGGUGGCGGCGCACAGACUCCUCUGCCGCGUUUGUCUCACUUGCCUGCCGCAUCUCGCCGCGGGCGUCACGCGCAUGUGAAUUUGGCGUGCGCGUCCAAGACGGCGGUGCCGGCACUAGCACCUACAACUGCCCGCGUGGAGCAGCAGCAGGCAGGGGCAGGGGACGACGUGGCGGACGCGCGGACUGCGCAUCCAUCGCGGAGCUGGGCGCGUGCCGGGAAUGGCCAACGCCAGGGGAGAUGCGAGGCAACAGAUCCGGAUCUGCAGCCAUGUCCACCUUGGACCUCUCGAUGGCAAUGCGGAGGGCCGGCUCCUCGUCGGUAUCGAAUUUGGAGUCGGAGCGGCUGCAGGAGCUCGACAUGGUCACCGGAAUCGUUGAACUGGAUUGAAUCGGAGAAAUCGAAGGAGGAGGAGAAGAGACGAAGCGAGAGCGGAGUGAGGUAGGAUUUUCGGAUUGGGGAUAUUUAUGGGGACGGAGUGGGGUAGGGUGCGCCGGACGUGCCGGGGCGCGCCCGGGCCGCCCCAUAUCCGCCCUAUAUUUGGGCUGGAUAUGAGGGGCGCCGGACAGCUUGGUCAUUUGAGAUGCCUGUCUGAGUCGCCUGUCUGAGUCGAAAUUUCAUGACCGGUUAGUGACCGGACCGUCCGCCCAAGUGUUUGAGGCUAAUUUGAGGCGUCCGACUGUAGAUGCUCUAACACCAUUGAGGGAGCUGAAACUAGAUAAAUUGCGUCCCGAGUCUCCGGUGUCGUCACACAAUUCGUUUGGCAGACAACCAAAUCGUAGAAGACCAUCUACGCAUGAAACCGUGUGGAAUGAGUUGUGUACUAGUGACAGUGCGUAGCAUGCCUUGUGCGCAAUCCGCGACCGAGUCGGCACCAGUAAACAAUAGACACGCAGAUGGAUCGCGCUUGUACCACAUCAUGCAUAAGUUGUUUAUAAUUUUUGUAUUACGUAACAGUACAUUUUACCCUUAGUCUAUUAGCCGUCUGCUGCCUAUUCUCCGUCUAACGCUAAUUCUGAUGUAUAAGAAAAGGUAGACCAACGCCGCGACGACCACGACCAUUGACCAACUUGCUAUCCGUUUCAUUCUUACUCUAUUAGCCGCCUGCUUCCUAAACUUAACCUAACGCUAAUUCUGGUUCAGAUGUAUAAGAAAUGAAGAUCAACGCGGCAACGACCACGACUAUUGACCCAACUGCGACAUCCGUCCGCCAAUAAGAAUGGAUUCGAACAAAACAAUAGAGACUGACUAGCACCUGCAACGCCACCAAACCAUUCUCUCUUGGCAGAUGUGCUUCUUCCAGCCUAUAUAUAUGCUGCAGUUGCCGCAAGUUUCCACAACCCAAACGGAGCAAAGCAAACACCACAUCCACCUCACCGGAGAAGAAGCCAAGAAGAAGUGGAGGAAAAAAUAAGAGAAGCAGAUCGCGUCAUGCCACCUGCAGGGGGUCUCUCUAAGAAGGUGAAUACAUCGUCAAGUCAUACGCCGUUGAAAAAGACAACGUCUUUCAAGAAGAAGCCAGCGCCGCCUAAGAAGAAGCCAGUGUUUCUGCCUACGAAGAAGCUUGAGAAAAAGUGACGGCACAGACGUCCUUCCAGCCACGCGCGCAUGUGGUGGUCUCCAUGGACACUGUCCGGCCAUGGUGAAGUUAAAGUAUGUUUCUGUCAAGUAGAUUAGUUAAAAUUAAUUUGUAAAGUCAGUUUGAUCGAACUCGUGGAGCCCUUAGCUAGUUUGCAUCUUUGGGCCAGAAGUGAGCUGGUAUAUGUUGCGGCCUCUUAAAAUCUUGUUUUUCCUUUGCGUUGUCGAGUUGUGUAUGACUGGUUGUUGUUGGGUGACUGAAUGAAAGAAGAGAGUUGGAAAUGAUAAUACCGUUAUCGUGGUGUUCA
rnacentral:lncRNA from 1 species